rnacentral:rRNA from 1 species
CCUACGGGCGACAGCAGUGAGGAAUAUUGGUCAAUGGACGCAAGUCUGAACCAGCCAUGCCGCGUGCAGGAAGACGGCUCUAUGAGUUGUAAACUGCUUUUGUACGAGGGUAAACGCAGAUACGCGUAUCUGUCUGCAAGUAUCGUACGAAUAAGGAUCGGCUCACUCCGUGCCAGCAGCCGCGGUAAUACGGAGGAUUCAAGCGUUACCCGGAUUUAUUGGGUGUAAAGGGUGCGUAGGCGGUCGGAUAAGUUAGAGGUGAAAUCCCGAGGCUCAACUUCGGAAUUGCCUCUGAUACUGGUCAGCUAGAGAGUAGUAGCGGUAGGCGGAAUGUAUGGUGUAGCGGUGAAAUGCGUAGAGAUCAGACAGAACACCGAUGGCGAAGGCAGCUUACCAAGCUACGUCUGACGUUGAGGCACGAAAGCGUGGGGAGCAAACAGGAUUAGAUACCCCAGUAGUC